GAGUUUGAUCAUGGCUCAGAGUGAACGCUGGCGGUAGGCCUAACACAUGCAAGUCGAACGGCAGCACAGUAAGAGCUUGCUCUUAUGGGUGGCGAGUGGCGGACGGGUGAGGAAUACAUCGGAAUCUACCUUUUCGUGGGGGAUAACGUAGGGAAACUUACGCUAAUACCGCAUACGACCUUCGGGUGAAAGCAGGGGACCUUCGGGCCUUGCGCGGAUAGAUGAGCCGAUGUCGGAUUAGCUAGUUGGCGGGGUAAAGGCCCACCAAGGCGACGAUCCGUAGCUGGUCUGAGAGGAUGAUCAGCCACACUGGAACUGAGACACGGUCCAGACUCCUACGGGAGGCAGCAGUGGGGAAUAUUGGACAAUGGGCGCAAGCCUGAUCCAGCCAUACCGCGUGGGUGAAGAAGGCCUUCGGGUUGUAAAGCCCUUUUGUUGGGAAAGAAAAGCAGUCGAUUAAUACUCGGUUGUUCUGACGGUACCCAAAGAAUAAGCACCGGCAACUUC
rnacentral:rRNA from 2 species